CGGGUGAGUAACGCGUGGAUAACCUGCCUCACACAGGGGGAUAACAGUUAGAAAUGACUGCUAAUACCGCAUAAGCGCACGGUACCGCAUGGUACAGUGUGAAAAACUCCGGUGGUGUGAGAUGGAUCCGCGUCUGAUUAGGUAGUUGGUGAGGUAACGGCCCACCAAGCCGACGAUCAGUAGCCGACCUGAGAGGGUGACCGGCCACAUUGGGACUGAGACACGGCCCAA
rnacentral:rRNA from 1 species